GUUUUUUACUUCCUGCCAUGUACCCUUGAGUGUAUGUCUGUGAGUUACUGCAGUCAUGCCAUCGCCAGCUUGUGGGUGGAGGAAGGAUUAAGCAAAUAAAGGUGGGUUGCCUAAUCCAGAGUCUGGUCAUGUCCAGCCAGGAAGUGAUUCACAGAUCAUAAUUGUGUUUAAUGCGAGAUAUCUGAUGAUAAGAAUGACAUGAACGUUUAUUCGGCUUUUAUUAAAGCCCCAGGAGAUUAAAAAAAAAAAAAAGAUUUACAAAACCUGGAAUCUGGAACUGAUGUGCACUCACUUUCUGAACUGUGCUCCUCAGCUGAUUUAUUGCUUAUGUGUGUGUGUGUGAGGUCGUGGAGUGUAAGCCUUCUGCUAAGAGGGACAGGAGUUAUACAAAUAAUUCUUCCUGGCCUCACGUCAGCGUUUGAUUCAUUGAAAUCAAAAUUUUCAGAAGAAUCUCAUAAGAACAGCGAGGUCUGGGAGCAGCGAAAGUGAAGGCAAAGAGCAAAGAGGGGCGCAGAGGGGAGGAUUCAGGGAGGAGCAGGGAGUGGCAGGGUGAGGUGUUUUGGAUUGUGGUCAUGAAUUUUUCCCUCCUGUCUCUCAUUCUUCUCCUGCAUGUUGAGACUCAUUCCUGCUUCUUCUCUCACACUGCAGUUCUUCUUCUGUGAAUCCACCUCUGUUUGUGUUUUACAACCUCUCUGGAAUUCAAACAUUAAAAUAACUUUUAUUAACUGAGACGAUUAUGACAAAAAUCCAUAUCCAUCUGUUAAGGGUUAAUAAUAAUUAAUAAUUAAUCAGGCUCUUUUCCAGCUUCAAACAUUGACAUUUCAAAGAUUUGACAGAAAAUACUUUACUUUCAGAAGCAUAAAUUAUCACAUUUUUGCCACUUAUUACUAUAAUCUAUAUGGAUAAUAAUGACACACUAGAAAAAGUGACUUACUUUCAGAGGACUAGUUGAAAAAAUAAAAGAAAAAUGUCAAAAUUAAAAUAUUGUAGCUCACUGGACUGGGCAGGCGCCACAGCCCCUGUAUCCAUGUUGGAUCUCAAAUCAGAUGUCUAUUUAAUUUGAUCUUCACCUCCUUCUUAGGGUCAUUUUCUUGAAAAUACAUGUCGCCUAUAUGGUUGUGUUUGUUCCUGUUCCUGUUUUAUUAUCCUGAACACUCAUUCAGAAGUCCAUGAAACACCACAUGUUUGAAGGGGUUGUUGCUUGAUAUCAUUAACACAGAUAUUUCCGCACCUCUGGGCGUUCAUUUUAUAUAUAUGUAUUUUGUAAUUUCCCAGACUCACUGCCUUGAGUGUCGAACUAUCCUGUAACUAUAAGAAGACUGAUGUGUUAUGUUUCUCCCAUGUCCUUACAUUCCAGGUGUGCAUACCUGCAUCUAUAUGUCUGUGAAACGGAGACUGUGACUUAUCACACUUACCUGGGAUCUCCACAGGAAUUCUUGGUUUCCUGGGUGACCUGAGAAAUUGUGGCAUGAACAAAGUGACGAAUCAUUUUCAGACCUGUGAAGGCAGAUUUCUCUGACACACACACAUACACACACAGAUGGCAUGUACUGAACUUGAAUAACCCUGUUUGUAGUGUCUUAGUCAAACCACCUGGAGGUUAUACAGAAACAGCUGAGUUUAUCACUUUGAACUAACAGUGCUCUGGGCAAAGACAUGUCAAGACAAGAGGUCACUGAUAUCUUUCCAAUGACGGGGUUUCUUCAUUUUGAGAAAAGGUGAAAUGAGGAAACAUACCACUUUUCGUUUAAUCAAGGAAUCAUGGCCUGAAAACACCUUAAAGAGUGUAAAUUCAUAGUCACACCCUCCUCCCGUGAUCUCAAAAGCAGGUGUUUUGAGCAGUCUGUUCGAGUCCUUACAUUACCUAUGUGGCUUUCACUGCCUUCAUUGAUUUAGAAAAUAUCUAAUAUCAUUCAGACUUUGUCGUUUUCAUUUUUUUUCUUGUUACUCUGCAAAAAGACAAAAAAAACUGUCCACUUCGUAGCGCUGUACCUUGAUGCAGCAGUUCAAUGAGCUAAAUGCUAAUGUUAGCAAUGUCAUCUUUUGAAUUGAUUUUGUGAUAUGUCUAAAUGUUACUCUUUUUGAAGUACAUUGUGUGAAAAGGCAGUUUUCCUGAGAUUUGUCAAAAUGUGGGGUGGGAUGCUCAACAGCUGACAUUAAACAUAACUCUGAUUUAAGCAUACAAACAUGCCAAUAAUGAAAAUGCAAAUGCUCUGAUGUUAAUGAGAUAUGAUUUUUGUCUUAGUCACCAUUUAAAUCAUAAAUGUUAGCAGAUUUCAGUUUGAACAACUGUUGCCACAUCAGGUCAACCUAAAAAUUGACAGGAAGUUGCCUGUGUCAUGCAGUGAGUGUGUUUUUAUACAGUUCAUGGUGCCAGUUUGUUUUCUAAUAAACUUGAUUCAUUCUUUCAAAUGGAGGAUUUUGUACUCAAAAUAACUUAUUACACUCUUUACUGGAGUUUAUCUUUUAAGUGUCUCAAAC